AAGCGCUUGAAGUCAGUCGCGUCUUCUGGAACUCAGCCUUGCUUCUGCUUGGUGCACUUUCCAGUUUGACGGGUCAGCAUCGGUUUUGGUGGGCAGACAAAGGCGCGGGGAAGGUGGCCGCUCCGGCGGUGUUAUAGCCCCGCGUUGUACGUGUCCGCUGGGACCGAGGAAUCCGGCGCUUGCGCCUGGGAUGCUGGCGUAAUGGCUCUAAGCGA
rnacentral:rRNA from 1 species